rnacentral:rRNA from 1 species
AUUGAACGCUGGCGGCAGGCCUAACACAUGCAAGUCGAACGGUAACAGGAAGAAGCUUGCUUCUUUGCUGACGAGUGGCGGACGGGUGAGUAAUGUCUGGGAAACUGCCUGAUGGAGGGGGAUAACUACUGGAAACGGUAGCUAAUACCGCAUAACGUCGCAAGACCAAAAAGGGGGACCUUCGGGCCUCUUGCCAUCGGAUGUGCCCAGAUGGGAUUAGCUAGUAGGUGGGGUAACGGCUCACCUAGGCGACGAUCCCUAGCUGGUCUGAGAGGAUGACCAGCCACACUGGAACUGAGACACGGUCCAGACUCCUACGGAAGGCAGCAGUGGGGAAUAUUGCACAAUGGGCGCAAGCCUGAUGCAGCCAUGCCGCGUGUAUGAAGAAGGCCUUCGGGUUGUAAAGUACUUUCAGCGGGGAGGAAGGGAGUAAAGUUAAUACCUUUGCUCAUUGACGUUACCCGCAGAAAAAGCACCGGCUAACUCCGUG